GAUGAACGCUGGCGGCGUGCCUAAUACAUGCAAGUCGAGCGAACGGACGAGAAGCUUGCUUUUCUGAUGUUAGCGGCGGACGGGUGAGUCACGCGUAGAUAACCUACCUAUAAGACUGGGAUCACUUCGUGAAACCGGAUCUAAUACCGGAUAAUAUUUUGAACCGCAUGGUUCAAAAGUGAAAGACGGUCUUGCUGUCACUUAUAGAUGGAUCCGCGCUGCAUUAGCUAGUUGGUAAGGUAACGGCUUACCAAGGCAACGAUGCAUAGCCGACCUGAGAGGGUGAUCGGCCACACUGGAACUGAGACACGGUCCAGACUCCUACGGGAGGCAGCAGUAGGGAAUCUUCCGCAAUGGGCGAAAGCCUGACGGAGCAACGCCGCGUGAGUGAUGAAGGUCUUCGGAUCGUAAAACUCUGUUAUUAGGGAAGAACAUAUGUGUAAGUAACUGUGCACAUCUUGACGGUACCUAAUCAGAAAGCCACGGCUAACUACGUG
rnacentral:rRNA from 1 species